CCUACGUGAGGCAGCAGUGAGGAAUAUUGGUCAAUGGUCGGGAGCCUGAACCAGCCAAGCCGCGUGAGGGAUGAAGGUACUGCGUAUCGUAAACCUCUUUUGUCAGGGAACAAAGGCGGGUACGUGUCCCCGUCUGAGUGUACCCCGAGCAAAAGCAUCGGCUAACUCCGUUCCAGCAGCCGCGGUAAUACGGAGGAUGCGAGCGUUAUCCGGAUUUAGUGGGUUUAAGGGGUUCCCAGGCGGGCUUUUAAUGCAGCGGUAAAAGCCCGGGGCUCAACCCCGGCCCGCCGUUGAAACUGGGAGUCUCGAGUGGGAGAGAAGUAGGCGGAAUGCGCGGUGUAGCGGUGAAAUGCAUAGAUAUCGCGCAGAACUCCGAUUGCGAAGGCAGCAUGCCGGCGCCAGACUGACGCUGAGGCACGAAAGCGUGGGUAUCGAACAGGAUUAGAUACCCCAGUAGUC
rnacentral:rRNA from 1 species